rnacentral:lncRNA from 1 species
UAGGAUUCCAGGUGGGACUCACCAUCUGGGACGUGCAGAGUGCUGGAGGAGUUUGCAGAGAAUAUAAGGAUGACCUCAGCUUGCUUCAUCCAUCCCCUGAAGCUACUGUGAUGUUGGACGAAGCCAAAGAAUCCAUAGAAUCCUGAGCACGUUGCUCUGGUUUCAAAUCUGACAAAAACCCCAGGGAUUUUCAUACCCCUGUGUUUGAUCGUUAGCCUACCCUGAAGCCCCAUGGUCCAGAUCCAAUUUCUGGAGCCUUCUACUGUUUGCGGGGCCUGGGUGGUUGCCAUGAGCAGAAACACUGUUCAUCUUGUGCCCAGUCCAUAUCAGGGCCCAUCUGUGUACCUGGUGACAUCUCUGGUCUGUGGAGGAUGGGAGCGCAAAGGAUGUGGUUGGCAAGAGGAGUUGGCCAGAGGAGGCCAGGGUCAGGCAUUUGAUGAGCACGAGCCUGGGAGCACUGGGCAACCUUGAAUCAGGCAGAGGAAGAGGCCAGCCCAGCGGCGUCUGCAGGAUGCCGCGAUUGGGAGAGGCUGGCACACUCUACCUGGGAACUGAAGAUACUCAGAGGAACCCUGACCUGAGGUAAAAGCUGCAGCUUCUAUGUUUUCUGGGCCCUCAGGUAUUAACUGGAACCAGAAAGAGGCCACAAGAUGGCACGCAAAGCUGGUCUUGUCUGAGGCAUGGGCGGAUAUUCCAUUUGCCUCACACUUACCAGGAAGAUGCGAAGUCCUGAGUGUGCUCCUUCAGCAUGGGGUGGGGAUCAGGCACUGGCUCAGGAGCUGGAAGUCUGGAACUGUAGUCCCAUUCAGCUACUAACUAGCAAAGCCCUGGCAUCAAUACAUGUUGACUAUUAUUGUUAUGGUUGUUGUUACCUUUGUGUUGUCAAAUAAAACAUGGAAA